AACGCGAAGAACCUUACCUGGGCUCGAAGUGCUCGGGACCAGCGGUGGAAACAUCGCCUUCCCGCAAGGGACUCGAGUAGAGGUGCUGCAUGGCUGUCGUCAGCUCGUGCCGUGAGGUGUUGGGUUAAGUCCCGCAACGAGCGCAACCCUUACUCUUAGUUGCCACCCGCAAGGGGGAACUCUAAGAGGACUGCUCCGGAUAACGGAGAGGAAGGUGGGGAUGACGUCAAGUCAGCACGGCCUUUAUGUCCAGGGCUACACACGUGUUACAAUGCACGGUACAAACCGUCGCGAACCCGCGAGGGGGAGCUAAUCGGAGAAAACCGUGCUCAGUUCGGAUUGCAGUCUGCAACUCGACUGCAUGAAGCCGGAAUCGCUAGUAAUGGCGUAUCAGAACGACGCCGUGAAUACGUUCCCGGGCCUUGUACACACCGGCUAC
rnacentral:rRNA from 1 species